UCACGAAACUAGGCACUUCAGACGUUCCCGAGGCGCCCGUUAGCGACGAAGCUCUUUUACCGUCCCUCCAGGCUAUGAAGAUCUACUAGACCUGGAAGAGGUGCGGUUGGGGGCACUUAAAAGCACUCUGUUCUCACUACCAGCACAAGUCUUGGCGCACUCGCUGCACCCACAGGUGCGCCGGACCGCGCCGUUCACAGCCGCCCUCAUGACCGCCUCGUCGGGGCCCGCCGGCAGCGGCGGGGCAAGCCCCACCGUGGCCAGUGCGCCCCGGCAGCAAGGGCACCCGGCGGGACACGGCCUUCGCCGCUCCCUCGCUAAGCCCCUUCUGUCCCGUCUCCCCGGCGGUGGGACGCGGGAAGGGGCCUGCGCUCACCUGUGGCUGCCGGCGGGAAGACGCCGCCUCUCUCCGCCGCCGGAGCCCUCGCUGGCAGACGGCCGCCUUCCGCCACGGAGGGGUUAAGCACUUGAAAAGCCCAUCUUGUCGGCUGCUGCCACAGUUACAGAAGCUUUAGUGUCUUCAGGUCAGAGGGUACAGCAUGCUGUUGCUCUGCUUGAGCACAGGUGGAAUGACUGUAAUCUAUUUUCAAAGGAAGGACAGUGUAAUUGCCAGUUUGAUAUUAGUAAUUGAGCACUUUGCCUACACAAUU